UUUCUGUAAAAAUAAAAGGUAAACAACAUUAAGGUAAAUUCCCCAUUUCUAUUUAUAGCACACCUUCCACAUCAGCUGAUAUGAUCUGGCAGUUUAAAUCAGUCAAUACGGUUUGACGUCAUACAACAGCAGACGUGUCUUGGGUUGAUGUGUACUGGGUUAGAACGAGCAAGUUUUAUCACGAGUUUUCAUAUAUAGACACCAGGAAUCACGAGGACUUGGACUCAGCUUGUCAACGGGGGGAAAACAGUGGACGUGUAUGACGACCAUGGGGAAACAAAUAAAAAGGCCGCAAAGUAAUAGGAAUAUUAAGACGUAUCUAUCAGCAUGCAGCUCAGUAUAAUCAAAUACAGGAAAUGUACAAUGGAAGUUAUAAAUAUAUCUCAACACUGUAAAGUUAGACCAUUUUGGCGCCCUUUAUAACUUGAUGUGUGGUGUGAGCCACGACUCCGUUGAAGACCGUACCUGGACAUGGAUGGACAGUAACUGUUGUCUUAUUGACACUCAUACCACAUCUUACUAUAUCCAUGACAACGAAUCGUCGUUAAUAUUGCUUUUUUUUCAGCCUUCGCACCGUAGACAUAUAAUUGGAAGAACAAUGUAGAUAUAAUGAUGCUCUGUGCUAUAGGUUUACUUAUAAUAAUUGAUGAUUAUGAUUGUUAUUCGCAUUGUUUCCAGAGGAAAUCUUAAUAUAUGGCUGGAGUAUAAAUAUGGUCACUUGAUCGGUCUUGUCCUGCAGUAAAAUCAAUACUGGAGAGGCGGCAUCUGUUUUGCCUUGCUGGAUGUAUUAAUGCGCAGUCCAAUUUGGUUGGAUCGGGGGACUUUUAUUUUUCUUGCCACAAGUUGCAAGAGUUUUUCGCAAAUUGAUUAAAACAAACUUGCGUCAACGUUUUUGUGGUCUAUCAGUUUGUCUGAUACCUGAAUAUUUUAUAAACAUUUGACACUAAAUGAUUAGAUGACAA